CGGGUAUAGUUUAAUGGUAAAAUUUUGAGCUUCCGACCCAACGUUGAGGGUUCGAUUCCCUCUACCC
rnacentral:tRNA from 1 species